rnacentral:tRNA from 1 species
GGAAAUGUGCCCGAAACUUUAAGGGUUACUUUGAUAGAGUAAAACAUAGAGGUUAAAACCCUCUCAUUUCC